rfam:Ictidomys tridecemlineatus contig002925, whole genome shotgun sequence.
GAGGAUGUAGCUGAUUGGUACAGUGUUGGCCUAACAUGCAGGAGGCCCUGGGUUCAAUCCCCAGCACCACA